rnacentral:rRNA from 1 species
UUAAGUCUGAUGUGAAAGCCCCCGGCUCAACCGGGGAGGGUCAUUGGAAACUGGGGAACUUGAGUGCAGAAGAGGAGAGCGGAAUUCCACGUGUAGCGGUGAAAUGCGUAGAGAUGUGGAGGAACACCAGUGGCGAAGGCGGCUCUCUGGUCUGUAACUGACGCUGAGGCGCGAAAGCGUGGGGAGCGAACAGGAUUAGAUACCCUGGUAGUCCACGCCGUAAACGAUGAGUGCUAAGUGUUAGAGGGUUUCCGCCCUUUAGUGCUGCAGCAAACGCAUUAAGCACUCCGCCUGGGGAGUACGGCCGCAAGGCUGAAACUCAAAGGAAUUGA